rnacentral:misc_RNA from 1 species
GAUGAAGAACGUAGCGAAAUGCGAUACGUAAUGUGAAUUGCAGAAUUCAGUGAAUCAUCGAAUCUUUGAACGCAUAUUGCGCUCUCUGGUAUUCCGGAGAGCAUGCUUGUUUGAGUAUCAGUAAACACCUCAACUCCCUUUUCUUUUUUGAAAUUGGAGCUGGACUUGAGUGAUCCCAACGCUUUCUUCCAAGAAAGUGGCGGGUUGCUUGAAAUGCAGGUGCAGCUGAACUUUUCUCUGAGCUAGAAGCAUAUCUAUUUAGUCUGCCUAAAAAACAGAUUAUUACCUUUGCUGCAGCUAACAUAAAGGAGACUAGUUCUUGUGCUGACUGAUGCAGGAUUCACAGAGACAGCUUCGGCUGACUUUGUAAACUCGAUCUCAAAUCAAGUAAGACUACCCGCUGAACUUAAGCAUAUCAAUAAGCGGAGGA